AUAACCUGCAGCCAAACUCCCUUCAUUAGGGAUAUUGUUUCAAACACACACAUACACAACUUGCAGCCAUUAUAUAUAGACGACCUGCAGCCAAUAUAUAUAUAUAUAUAUAUAACCUGCAGCCAAACUCCCUUCAUUAGGGAUAUUGUUUCAAACACACAUACACAACUUGCAGCCAUUAUAUAUAUACAACCUGCAGUCUGGGAUCCAAUUCCCCAUUUGUGCUUCUACUUUCCAACACUCAUAUCCUAAGAAGAAACGGUGUUCAUUGCAGCAUAAACCUAAGAUCUCCAGACACAUCUCUAAAUCUUUCUAUGACAAGCAAAAAUUUCAGGCACACAAUUUUUAAGGGUAUACUGGAAGCAACUCAUAGUAAUUAAUCAUUUAGUACUCGUACAAGUACAUUUGAAUAAGCGAAAGGAGCAACAAAAUCUUGAACAAAAGCAUCUGAACAGAAACAUUAUAGGGACCAAAAUCCUGCAAAACAUUCUUAAUGCGAAUAUCUUUAGAAGAUUAAAAAAACCGAUAGGGGUAAAGGCUCUAAUUUGCCCUCGGCGUGGCCCAUUCAACCCUGAGGAUGAGAUUGUCAUAACCGUACCCAUUCAGAU
rnacentral:lncRNA from 1 species